GACAGAGGGUGCAAACGUUGCUCGGAAUUACUGGGCGUAAAGCGCGUGUAGGUGGAUUGGUGUGUCAGAUGUGAAAUCCCUGGGCUCAACCCAGGAGCUGCACCUGAAACUACCAGUCUUGAGUGGUGGAGAGGGAAGUGGAAUUCCUGGUGUAGAGGUGAAAUUCGUAGAUAUCAGGAGGAACACCAGUGGCGAAGGCGGCUUCCUGGACACCAACUGACGCUGAGACGCGAAAGCGUGGGGAGCGAACAGG
rnacentral:rRNA from 1 species